AAAAAAACAAGUUAAAACUUUCAACAACGGAUCUCUUGGUUCUGGCAUCGAUGAAGAACGCAGCGAAAUGCGAUAAGUAAUGUGAAUUGCAGAAUUCAGUGAAUCAUCGAAUCUUUGAACGCACAUUGCGCCCGGCAGUAAUCUGCCGGGCAUGCCUGU
rnacentral:rRNA from 1 species